GCCUGACUUAGCAAACUUUCCUGCCUCCUGUGUGAGAAGAAAACAAACUGUUCCAUCCGGGUUUGCGAGGUUCCUUUGAAGGGCUUGCGGCUUUGGUUCAGGCAAACAGGAACCUGGCGGGGACCACCCUCCACCCUGGGGCUCGGGGACCACAGCCCAUUUUCCAAGUCAGGAACGGAGACUCCGGGGGCUGCCUGACUUUACCAAGGCCACAUGGACCAGACCACAGAGCUCCCGGUUCUCAGACUUCGGACUCGGACUGAACUGCACCCCGGCUCUGCUGGGUCCCGGCUUGCAGACGGCAGAUGCAGGGACAUCUCAGCCUCCGUCAUCACAUGAGCCGGCUCAGCAUCAAUCUCCUGAAUCUCUGCAUGUCCUGUUGGAGAACCCUGGCUGAUACACCAGCGGGGUUUCUCGUUGCCUUGAAGGCCUUCAUAUUAUGCUUUUAUUGAGGUAUAGUUGACCUGUAGUAUUAUAUUAGUCUCAGCUGUACAACAUAGUGUGUCAACAUGUUUAUAGACUACGCUCCACUUAUAGUUAGUUAUCAAAUAAUGUCUGUAUUCCCUGUGCUGUACAACACAUCCCUGUCGCUUGUUUAUUCUAGACGUGGUAGUUUCUACCUCUUAAUCCUCUACCCCUAUCUUGCCCCUCCCCUCUCCCCCCUCCCCACUGGG